AAAGCCGGAUUAAUACCGCAUACGCUCUGUGGAGGAAAGCGGGGGAUCUUCGGACCUCGCGCUCAAGGGGCGGCCGAUGGCAGAUUAUCUAGUUGGUGGGGUAAAGGCCUACCAAGGCGACGAUCUGUAGCUGGUCUGAGAGGACGACCAGCCACACUGGGACUGAGACACGGCCCAUACUCCUACGGGAGGCAGCAGUGGGGAAUUUUGGACAAUGGGGGCAACCCUGAUCCAGCAAUGCCGCGUGUGUGAAGAAGGCCUUCGGGUUGUAAAGCACUUUUGUCCGGAAAGAAAACCUCUGGGUUAAUACCCUGGGGGGAUGACGGUACCGGAAGAAUAAGCACCGGCUAACUACGUGCCAGCAGCCGCGGUAAUACGUAGGGUGCGAGCGUUAAUCGGAAUUACUGGGCGUAAAGCGUGCGCAGGCGGUUCGCU
rnacentral:rRNA from 1 species